UACGUAGGGGGCAAGCGUUGUCCGGAUUUAUUGGGCGUAAAGAGCGUGUAGGCGGCCAGGUAGGUCAGCUGUGAAAACUCGAGGCUCAACCUCGAGACGCCGGUUGAAACCAUCUGGCUAGAGUCCGGAAGAGGAGAGUGGAAUUCCUGGUGUAGCGGUGAAAUGCGCAGAUAUCAGGAGGAACACCGGUGGCGAAGGCGGUGGGCUGGGCCGGCACUGACGCUGAGGAGCGAAAGCGUGGGGAGCGAACAGG
rnacentral:rRNA from 1 species